AUUGAACGCUGGCGGCAGGCCUAACACAUGCAAGUCGAGCGGAGCGGCGGACGGGGGCGUAAUGCCUAGGAAUCUGCCUGGUAGCGGGGGAUAACGUCCGGAAACGGGCGCUAAUACCGCAUACUAUCAGAUUAGCCUAGGUCGGACUAGCUGGUGGGUGGGGUAAAGGCCUACCAAGGCGACGAUCCGUAACUGGUCUGAGAGGAUGAUCAGUCACACUGGAACUGAGACACGGUCCAGACUCCUACGAGAGGCAGCAGUGGGGAAUAUUGGACAAUGGGCGAAAGCCUGAUCCAGCCAUGCCGCGUGUGUGAAGAAGGUCUUCGGUUUGUAAAGCACUUUAAGUUGGGAGGCGUUACCAACAGAAUAAGCACCGGCUAACUUCGUGCCAGCAGCCGCGGUAAUUC
rnacentral:rRNA from 1 species